rnacentral:rRNA from 1 species
CUACGGGCCGCUGCAGUGGGGAAUCUUGGACAAUGGGCGCAAGCCUGAUCCAGCCAUGCCGCGUGAGUGAUGAAGGCCCUAGGGUCGUAAAGCUCUUUCGCCAGGGAUGAUAAUGACAGUACCUGGUAAAGAAACCCCGGCUAACUCCGUGCCAGCAGCCGCGGUAAUACGGAGGGGGUUAGCGUUGUUCGGAAUUACUGGGCGUAAAGCGCGCGUAGGCGGAUUAGUUAGUCAGAGGUGAAAUCCCAGGGCUCAACCCUGGAACUGCCUUUGAUACUGCUAGUCUUGAGUUCGAGAGAGGUGAGUGGAAUUCCGAGUGUAGAGGUGAAAUUCGUAGAUAUUCGGAGGAACACCAGUGGCGAAGGCGGCUCACUGGCUCGAUACUGACGCUGAGGUGCGAAAGUGUGGGGAGCAAACAGGAUUAGAUACCCCCGUAGUC